CUAUCAUGUGCCUUUUGUUUUUUGUCAAAGUUGGAUUUCAAUAGAUAGCAGAAGAAGUACACGGCUCAUGGCCCAAUUACAGAGAACCAUCUAACUACAUAGCUUAAACACCCAAGCCCAAGAAGAAAUAGGCCCAUGGCCCACGCAAACUGAAACCUUAGAGCUAUCAGGUAUUUGACUCGAAACCUUUGAGAUUCUGCAAGCAGGAAAGAUGCGACACAACACCGCUUAUUCUUGGCCACCCAAUGGCCAAGGAAGGAUAUCGUUUCAGCCUGAGAAGCACAAUACAGGGGAGGCCUCUUCUACCAGUGGCCAUGCAUGGCUGAUUCAGCCUGUCUGAGGCCAAGAAGAGACCCCUUUCUCAAGAUGUCAUCCCUAGGAUCUCAAACACAGUUGCAGCUAGGAACUACUUUUUCAGUGGCUUUGAGGAACUAGAGACCAUGGAGAAGCCGAAAAUCAACGGAGGAAUGGCAGAGCUAGAGGCUUCUUAUUCUUGUAUAGCCAUGGGGGGACUAGAGACCAUCAUCUAGGCGCUGGAAAGUCCCUUUAGUUACCAUUCUUUCAGUGUAUACUUCUAGAGCCCAUCAUGCAUAAAACACACAAACAAACCCCACAAAUCAUCAUAAAAAAACCCUCUCCAUUUCAAUCACUAGGAUCUGCUGAAAAGCAACCAAAGCAACUAAAAUGAGCUAUUUACACCCCAACCUAGAGGUCGGAAAGGGAAAUCCAUUUUUCAGGUUGGGGAAAAGGCCUUCCCUUGUCCGGAAGGAGCAGAGAAAGGCCUUUGGGAGGCAGUGUCGGUGAGCUUUGAGAAAUAGAGAACUAGAAAAAACCGAGAGAAAUUUCUCUCUAAAAACCUAGAGAGAGACAAGCUCCUGAGUUGCUAGCCAAACCAUUUGGUAAACUGUCGAAUUUUGCCCUGAUAUAGAUAUGCCCAUCAAUGAAUGUAGUAAAUAAUGUCAUGCUGCUGAAUUGCUAAAAAUCCAGAUUUAUGUGGAAUAUAAUAUAUUUUGGCUUUAUAAUUUCUUCCUUCUAUAUAAAUCAUUUAAUUUAAUGAUUUGGGAUGAUUAAUUUCAAAGCAAUGUCCAUUGAUUUAAUUUUAUAAUGUACCUUUUCUUUAAAAACAGUAGACUUUAACUAUACAAUGAAGGUGUAUGC
rnacentral:misc_RNA from 1 species